UAAUUCAAAUAUAUUUUAUUACAUUUAAUAAACAUUUAAAAUCCAAGUUGCAAUUACAGCUGCAAAAUUGCUUUUCCUUUCGAUGUAACAUAGUCACUUUUAUAUUUAGUUAUACUUUACAUUUUCUUGGUUACAUUGUUAAUGUGACAAGUUUUAUUAUUAGCAAUUUAUAUUAACUAUAAAAAUGGAAAUUUGAGAAGUGAAAUAUAAAAAAAUUAAAACUAAACAUGGAAAUUACACAAGAAACAUUUAAUAAUAUAUUUUAUUUCAACUUAGUUAAUAUCCCAUUAAAUGGUUUGGUGUCAUAAUCAUAAAAUUUUAUAAUGUUAAGAAGCAAGGGCACAAACAAAUGUUCACAUAUAUUUUAUACUUAACAAGAAAUGGAAAAACAUGAAUACUGAAAGAAACAAAAGAUUAUUCACGCUUUUAUUACUGAUUUGAUCUUACCAUAUAAUCUAACAACUGAACUUAUCUUAACCUAAUUUUAUUUAACUGAAUCUAAUGCCUUAUAUAUUCCAUCUAUAGCCUCUUUUCAUAAGACUACAUAAUGCAUAAUUACUUUUAGGACUUUCAUUGGGAAAAAGUAAUGCCAGUUUUAAGAAUUUGUUUUUACUAUUGUUUUAGCAUUUUUUCACUUUGUUCCUAACCCAGACACAGAUUUUACAGUUUUUAAAGUUACAUUAUGCUAACAGAUUUUUACUUAAAAGUCUCAGUAUUUUUAAGUCUGCAUAUCAUCAGAAAGAAAAACAAGUUAAUGAGUUUUAAAAAUUUGCUUAUUGUUUUAGAAGUUUUACUUUUUUGUUAUUGUUCUGUGCUUUAUAAUUGUUUAACCACUUUCUGGCACAAGUUCAGCAACUUGCAGGAUACAUUUUUCCUGGAAGUUUUGUUUUAAAAUUCUUAGCAUUUUUAAAUUGCCAUGUUAUCCAAAUAUUUUAAAAAUUGAUUAAUGCACAUUUUAAAAUAUUUUUGUUGUUUUUCAGGGUUUAACAUUUAAUUUUGGUUUUUGUUGUUGCUGCUGCUGUGUAUGUGUGUAUACGAGGGUUUAUUUCCACUGCUCCUGACUUGAGCACAAAUGUAGCAUCUUUCAAGCUCAGAAGUUAUAUUUACAAGUUCUAAUAUUCUUAAAUAUCCACUUUAGUUUAAAAACUAGUAAGAGUUUUAAAGAUUUUUGCGGUUUAAGUAAAUUAUAAAAAAAUUUUCUCUUUUUUUGUAGAUUUUAAAAUACUGUUUUUAAUUCCUUUUAAACUGGGUGCCAUUUUAGCAGCUUCUUAGUUGCAAUUUGAUCCAAAGCAUUAUAUGAAUGUUAUAGUGUUUUGUAAGUUUCGCAGAUGCUCAGAAAAUGCAAGUUCUAAAUUUUGUUUGUGCUUGUUUUGUUUGUUUUAUCGCAGUUUGAUUUUUGACCUUUUUUUCCCACAACUUGUUCCUAACCAGGAGACGAAUUUAGCCACUUGGUAGCUGCGUUGUGCUUCAAAAUGUUAUGCAAAUGACAUAGUAUUUUUACAUUUACAGAACCUCAACAAAUAGUAAUGAAAGUGUUACAAAUUAUUGUUGAGGUUUUUUUAUUUUUAUUUUUCUUGGGGUUCUCUGGUUUUUUUGUUUUGGUUUGGUUUAGUUUAUGUGUUGUUUUUUUUUUUUAUUUGCUUCCAAUCC
rnacentral:lncRNA from 1 species